rnacentral:rRNA from 1 species
AUUGAACGCUGGCGGCAUGCUUUACACAUGCAAGUCGAACGGUAGAGGGGCAACCCUUGAGAGUGGCGAACGGGUGAGUAAUGCAUCGGAACGUGCCCAGUAGUGGGGGAUAGCCCGGCGAAAGCCGGAUUAAUACCGCAUGAGACCUGAGGGUGAAAGCGGGGGAUCGCAAGACCUCGCGCUAUUGGAGCGGCCGAUGUCAGAUUAGCUAGUUGGUGGGGUAAAGGCCUACCAAGGCGACGAUCUGUAGCUGGUCUGAGAGGACGACCAGCCACACUGGGACUGAGACACGGCCCAGACUCCUACGGGAGGCAGCAGUGGGGAAUUUUGGACAAUGGGCGCAAGCCUGAUCCAGCCAUGCCGCGUGCGGGAAGAAGGCCUUCGGGUUGUAAACCGCUUUUGUCAGGGAAGAAAUCUUCUGGGCUAAUACCCUGGGAGGAUGACGGUACCUGAAGAAUAAGCACCGGCUAACUACGUGCCAGCAGCCGCUGUAACAC